UACAGAGGUGGCAAGCGUUGUUCGGAAUUACUGGGCGUAAAGGGCGCGUAGGCGGCCUUCUAAGUCAGACGUGAAAUCCCCAGGCUUAACUUGGGAACUGCGUCUGAUACUGGGAGGCUUGAGUGCGGGAGAGGGAUGUGGAAUUCCAGGUGUAGCGGUGAAAUGCGUAGAUAUCUGGAGGAACACCGGUGGCGAAGGCGGCAUCCUGGACCGACACUGACACUGAGGAGCGAAAGCCGGGGGAGCAAACGGG
rnacentral:rRNA from 1 species